UUCAGUGCAAUACUCAAUUUAAUAAUGAAAGGAUAAUUGAAGAAAAGAUGCCAAUUAAAUCUUAAGUAAAUUAUUAAUAAUAAUUAAUAAAAAGUAAUUAUUGAAUAUUAAUGACAAAAUAUGUACGAAAGAUAAGAAAAAGUGAUAAGCAAGGAGACUUGAAAUUCACAAGUAGCUGCGUACGUGGCACAAGCAUUCUCCAAUGAGGGUACAUACAAUUUUGAUAGGCGUGGUUUAGAGGCUCACGUACACUUGGGUCUUAUGUCUGGCAGCCAUAAUUUCUUAAAAAGAUUUACUUGUGAAUAACUGUUGUGUUUCCCUCAGCGGGACAGAGAUCAUUCUCGAUAAUUCAUCGAGACAGAAAAACCAUAAAAUCUAUCAUUUUUCUGUAUAACUUUAUAAUCCAUAAAAGAACAUAAUGGAUCAUCAAACGGGGUUAAUUUAUGUUGGAAUAGUAGUUAUUUCCGCGGCUAUAAUUCUUUUGAUUUCAACGUUUGGAAUAAAAGAAAAGUCUUAUGAAGAAGCAAUAGCUGAACAGAGGAAACUUCCUGAUGAUUUGCUACUUGGUAAAAAAGACAAAAGUAAGGAUAAAAAGCACAAAAGUAAAACUGGCAAAAAAGUGAAAGAAAAGAAAGAAGAAAAGGAUGAUAAGGAUGAUAAACCGGAACAUGUUCAAUUCGAAGAAACGCCUCAAAUUCUUUCACCGGAAACAAAUGCCCAGGAGGCUAACCGGGGAAAUAAGAAGAAAAUUAAGCCUGAAAAGGUGAAACCAAUCCUUUUGAACAAGGAUGAAUCACCAGUAAUCAUGUCUGAGCCAAAUGCUUUACAAUCUCCAUUGGUAGAAGUCAAUCAUUUCGAUGUCAUUCAACCAAAGGAUGAUCUUGAAUUAGUUCGAAGUCAGAGCAAAGAGAAUCUUCAUCAAGUAAUUCAAUCAGAACUAGUUAUAUCUAAAUCUCCCAAGGGAACUCCGACUAAAUCGAAAAAGAAUGCAGUCAAAGAGCCCGUAAAGAAAAAGGAAGAAAUUAAAGAAGAAAAAAAAGAAGUUGUAAGUGUGACUACUGUUGUUCAAUCAUCACCCAAGGAUUCUAGCAAGGAAUCAAAAGAAUCGCAAAAAGAUGUCCAAAAAGAAUCACCAACAUUAUCAGCUCUACCGAGCAAAGAAACUAAUAAAAAAAACAAAAAGAAAAUUGAUAUUCUUUCUCAGAUAGGCGGUGAUAAAGAUGGUGUAAAUAUAUCUUUGUUGAUGCCGUUAGUUAAAAAAGCUGAAUUAAGCCGCUCUGAGAUACAGAUUCUCAUUGAUCUGCUGUUAAAUAAGCAACUAGAUAAUCCAAUGGAACAUUCAGAAUGGACUGAGGGCCGUGCUGAUCAAUUAAUUAAAUUAAAAAAACAACUAGCUGAAAAAGAAAAAGCAUUGGCUGAAGAACACGAGGCCAACGUGACAGUUCAGAAUAAAGUGAAAGAGCUCAGAGCUGAAUUAAAUUCAGAAAGGUCUAGGUCAUCAGCUAGGUUAAGUCAACUAGAAGAAGCACUUGCUGCUAAGACUACAGAAGUAACUACUCUUCAAACACGUAUGCAACACAUUCUUGAAACUAACGCUGCAGAGAAACAGGGUUUAACUCGUCAAAUUGAACAUCUUCAAGUUAAAAGUAAUGAAGAUGAUGCCAUUAUUCGUAAGAUUCAAGAAGACUCUGGUCAAACUCACGGUCACAUUCAACAAGAAUUAAUUGCCCAACGUAAACAAUUUGAUGUGCAAUUCGCUCAAAUGCGCGAUACUGAAAAUGCAUUAAAAGCUGAAAUAGCACAGAAACAUGUAGAGUUUCAACAAUUACAGAAUGUUAAUAUGUCUCUUAAUGAUGAGCUUCAAGCCACAUGUGAGCUUCAAGCAAGAAGUAAUGCAGAUAUUGAAAUGCUUCAGCAACAACUUGCGAUAUCAAGGGAUCAAUUGAUUCAUGCCCAAGAAAUGGCACGACAAUUUGAAGAAUCGCGGCGUGAUUAUGAUCAUAGAUUGAAAAAUGCUCAUCGUCAUGAGCAAGAACUGCAAAAACAAAUACAUUCUCUUCAAGCUGAAUUAAAAAUGAGCAAAUCUGAAGCCAGUGAAUUGAAUGCUGAACUUACAAAAGCUCAAUCGGAAUUGACUAAAUUGAAAUCUGAUGCUUCUGAAGUAAUGAAUUUACGCGGACUGUUAAACAGUAAAGAUGAAGAAUUAAAAAAAGUUCAGACAGAAAUGGCACAAUAUCAUCAAGACUUAAUUAAAGCACAAGCUGAAGUGAAAAAAUUACAAAAUGCUUUGAACGAAAGUCAAAAUGAGUCAAGUAAAGGGCAAACAGAGCUAGCAAAGAUACGUGAAGAAUUAAAGCAUGAGAAAAAUGAAUUAAGCAAAUCUUAUAGUGACAUAAAAAUGCUCAAAGAUAAGUUGGCUCAAGCUGAAGAUAAAUUAAGUAAAACUCAAGCAUUUGAGGAACUCAAAUUAUCCAAAUCUGAACAAGAACAAUUGCAGAAUGGUGAUAAGUCCACGAGUAAUACUCAAUUAUUAAUCUCUAAACUUCAAGAAGAUAAAGAUCGUCUUGUAGCACAACUCGACAAUUUCUCGGAAAUGCAAAAAGAAGUGAAACGAUUGCGUGAAGAAAAUGAGGUACUUUUGUCUAAAUUGAACACAACAGACGGACGUGAGAACGGAGUAAAUGAAAAAUCUCAAAAGAAUACCGUUCAAGAAUUAGAACAAAGUAAUUUGCUAGCACAAAAAGACAAACAACUAGAAACUUUACAAACAGAAAUCAUGAAGAGACAAAAAGAGUUUAAUGAACUUAACGCGCAAAUAGAAAUUUUACAACGUGAUGCAAAUAAUCAAAAUAACUUGACUAAGCGGUUACAAGAAGAUUUGGAAGCUCAAAGAUUAAAGAAUGACGAGUUACGUACUAAGAACUGGAAAGUGAUGGAAGCUCUUUCCGCUGCUGAGUCGCGUAUUAAAUCCAAUUCCCGGGAAAAUAUUGACGAGCAUAUUAACAAAGCCAAAAUGACUGAACAAGAAGCAACUAAAUCUUUACUCCAAAGGAUAUUCCCUGAAAUAAACAUUGCUGAAAAAUCAUAUGAUAAAUGGUUGAAAACUUUUGAAGAACGUGUUCAUAACAUAUUGACUGAGAAAAAAUCUAUUGUGACUGUUGAUAAUUCUGAAAUGGAAAAACAAAAUAAGAAUUUGCAGGGCAUGGUAGCUCAUUAUAAACAAAUAAUUAUGGAAACAGAAUCAAUGCUCAACAAUCUUCAAAACUAUGUUGAGUCUGAAGAAUCAAGAUGGAAGGCAGAUCUUCGACAGAAAGAGAAUGAAGUCAUUAAUCUUAAAGUAGAAUUACAAGAACUUCGGAGUAAAACAACACUCCAUGAUAAGACACAUCAGGACACAGAUGGUGUUGAGUUUGCAUUUAAUUGCAUCGAAAAAUCUCUUCCUACGAUCACCAGAGAGCUCCAAGAAAAGAUUUCACAAUUAGAAUUAAGAUUAAAAGAAGAUAAAGAACAACCAGAACAGAAGGCUGAUUUAGUGAGAGUUACAUCAACACAUACAUCACCUAUCAAAAGUGUUAAUUUUGUUAAUAUAGAGCAACUAGAACAGGAAAAACAACGGUUAUCGCAAGAUUUGGAGACUGAGCGUAACAAAAAUGCCUCUCUCAAUGCCGAGUUGAAUAAAAUACAAUCAUUAAUAGCACAAUCAGAAAAAACAAUGGAAUUAGAAAAAACUUUAGUCUCGCAACUACAAAAUGUAGUGAAUCAAAAGAAUAGAACUAGUGGUGCUGGUAGUAGUGUCGAUCAAUGCGCUAUUAAUGGACCACCAGCAACAGAUUCUUCAAACUCAACGCAGAAGAGAUCAACACAUUCUCUGUUAGCUGCAAUAGAAAAUCCCCUUGUCAAGAAAUCGGAAACUGAAAACCGUUCAAUAACCAGCACGAAUUUGGUUGAGUCAGUCCAACAAAUCGACCGAGACUCCUUUACCUCACUAUUAAAUUCCGAUAACUGUCAUACGACAGACAAUUAUGAUACAAAAGCUCAAUGGCAUCCUAUGAACUGUCAACAACAAAAAAAACACAAGAAAAAAAGGAAGGUAAAACAAUAAUAAAAAAAUAAAUAAAAUUGAUUGAAGUUGGGAGAAAGUAUUACUGACUCGAUAGAAACAAAAUUGGUGCAUCUUUACUUUUGGGUGGAUCAGGAAAAAAGUAACAUCUAGAGCAAAGCUACGUUAAUGGAGAUUGAACUAGGAUUAUGUAGAAAGCAAGAAUUAACAAAAAAAAAUAGUGUUAUUAGCACAUACAAUCAAGCUGUGGAUGUGAAUAGACAGUGACUUUGCUACUGAGAAGACUAAUAUAAUAAUAAAUUAAUUAUUAAUAAUGUUUAUUAUAAAGAAUAUCAUAUUUUAUUAUAUAAAAAAAUAUGAACAAUUAAAGGCGUAGGUAGUAAAAGCAGGAAAAUUGUAUCAGAGAUUGAAAUAAGUCAGAGAUUAAUUAUUACUUAUGUCAAUCAUAUAGAGGGAUGGUUUAAAGAAAAUUAACUUUAUUCUUUAUUUUUAUUCGCAAAUAUCAACUUUUAUUUUAUUUGAAUUUUUGUAGGUAAUAUAUCGAGAAUGAAAAAGUUUUGAAUUAUUAAUUCUGUUGAGAUUAAUUCGUAAAAUGGGCUGACGAAGGUAUCAGUAAAUAUAGGUGAUAUAUUAGAUUAUGAAAAUGUUUUUACAGAAAAUGCAUUUUAUUAAACAUGUAAUUGAAAACAUAGUAAAAUUCACGAAAUGUGCAAUAAAUACACUAAAUGCAAAAAAAAAAAAUAAGAUAGAAUAUACUAGAGAGCUUUAUAGAGGAAAAUAAAGCUCAUUGAAUUAUCGUGUCCAGCAGUAAUAAAUUAACUAUAUAAAGUCCAGUCCAAUACUGUUAUUGAAAAUUCUCAAAAACGAGUAAUUUCUAUAUUUUACAUGAUAGUCACUAUCUUAGAAAAUUAAAGUUCAUUUUGAAUUUAUAUUCUUAUUCGACUCUGCUUUUUAUUUUAUUUUAAGAGCCAAAAAUAUAUUAAUCAAAUAAAAAUAAUAGCAAAAACUAACUAAAUUUUAGGGUUUGAAAUAUAAGGAAAAAAAUCUAAAAAAAAAUUGGAAAAUAAUUGUUUAAAAUAAAAAAAAAAUUUGUUAAACAUAUUUAGUACCGUAACAAAUUUUUCAUUCUGAAAUUCGAUAUGAAAAAAUUUUCACUGAAAUCUUUUCAGACACAGCCUAACAGAAGCUGAUUAUCGCUGUACUGUGAACGUUUUCAUUGGAUAUCGUACUUAUUUUAUAUACAUUUUAUAACAUAUACUGAAUGCCAAUUCGGUAAUCAUCCUGUUUAAGCGAUUUAAAUGGUUUGAAAAAUCAAUUUAAUACUACAUUUCAAUCAUCAAUUAAUUGUAUAAAUUUUAUCUUAAACUCAAUAGAUCUAAUCUAUUAUCCAAUUAAUUUUGUAUAUUUCAUACAUAGAUUUUUUCAUUGAGUUUAUGUAAUUUAUUGGUUUAUAAUAUUACCAAGUGUCAAAUGAAAAUGUGAAGCCACUCACAACUGUUAAACUAUUAUCAUUGGAUUUUAAUCAAUACAUUUUUACAGAAAACAACUGAUUAAGUGUGUUCUUUAACCGCCAUAUGUUGUUUGUAAUUCUGUAAAAAUUGUAGAUCAAUUGAAAGAAAGAAAGAAAAACACUCUCCAUUUAUAAUGUUGUUAUAACAAACCAUUGGUCAGCCUUAACAAUCCUGGUAGUAUCUUAUUACAGUUGCAAUAUAGCAUUAAACAUACUAAUAAUAAAUACAUGUACCCUGCAA